CGAGCCACUGCCUGUUCACCCCGCUAUCAUCCAGAAGGCAAGCUCCUUCAAGUGUCUGGAACUUUUGGAGGGAUGUGAAACCAUUCUUCCACGAGAAAUUCCAUAAUUUGCUGUUUUGUUGAUGGCGGCGAAUCGCAUCUCUGCAUGUCUGUCAGACAUAU